CUACGGGAGGCAGCAGUGAGGAAUAUUGGUCAAUGGACGCAAGUCUGAACCAGCCAUGUCGCGUGAAGGAAGACUGCCCUAUGGGUUGUAAACUUCUUUUGUAUGGGAAGAAAUAUAGCUACGUGUAGUUAUUUGCCGGUACCAUACGAAUAAGCAUCGGCUAACUCCGUGCCAGCAGCCGCGGUAAUACGGAGGAUGCAAGCGUUAUCCGGAUUCAUUGGGUUUAAAGGGUGCGUAGGCGGAUUAUUAAGUCAGGGGUGAAAGUUUGCGGCUCAACCGUAAAAUUGCCUUUGAUACUGGUAAUCUUGAGUACAUUUGAGGUAGGCGGAAUGUGAUGUGUAGCGGUGAAAUGCUUAGAUAUAUCACAGAACACCGAUUGCGAAGGCAGCUUACUAAACUGUAACUGACGCUGAGGCACGAAAGCGUGGGUAUCGAACAGGAUUAGAUACCCUGGUAGUCCACGCCGUAAACGAUGAUUACUAGUUGUUUGCAAUACACCGUAAGCGACAAAGCGAAAGCAUUAAGUAAUCCANCUGGGGAGUACGUUGGCAACAAUGAAACUCAAAGGAAUUGU
rnacentral:rRNA from 1 species